rnacentral:rRNA from 1 species
UACGGGGGGGGCAAGCGUUGUUCGGAAUUACUGGGCGUAAAGGGCUCGUAGGCGGCCAACUAAGUCAGACGUGAAAUCCCUCGGCUUAACCGGGGAACUGCGUCUGAUACUGGAUGGCUUGAGUUCGGGAGAGGGAUGCGGAAUUCCAGGUGUAGCGGUGAAAUGCGUAGAUAUCUGGAGGAACACCGGUGGCGAAGGCGGCAUCCUGGACCGGCAUGACGCUGAGGCGCGAAAGCUAGGGGGAGCAAACGGGG